GGGGCUUGCGCAGAGCGCCCCUGGGGGGGCGGGGCCUGAGGGCUAGGUCCUCCUGUAGGAGGCGGUGCUGCGGGUUUGCAAGCACAGCCUUUAAAGACCCUGUGCUCAGAGAUCUUGUUGAAAAAUCCUUACGGGCCCUUGUUGUCAUCUGCAAAAUGGGUAUCCCGUCCCGUCCCCAGCUCUUAGCUGCUCUCCUUUUUGAAGAGGGAGUGUUGAUUGGGCCGCCUCCAGAGAAAGUGGCAGUGAUCGUGAAAAUUUGCAGUGCACUGAGUUCCGAAGUUGGAAUGGGCUCCCUGUGAUAGCCAGGGGCAGGAAGCAAAGUGCUUGUCCUCCGGACAGGUGUAGCCUAAGGGGAGACCCCUGGGUGGACAGGCGUGGAAUAACUCACUUAUCCAUCCUACAUUCCUUGAGCGCCUACUGUGUGCCAGGCGUUGGGGACUCAGAGGACAGCCCCUCAGGGGCUUGCUCACAUUUUAAAAUGGGGAAACAGACAAUGAGUCAACAAAUCCAGAAAACCACCUUAGUGUUUACUGCUACAAAGGAAAACACACACACACACACACACACACACACACACACAGGCACACACAGGAAGGAGGGAAGUCUUUCUGUGAGUUGACUUUUGAGCUGGUCAGGAAGAUGUGAGCAAAUGGAAGGUCAGGCGACUCUGGGAAGUGGAUAGCUGUACAGAUGUCCGGAAGUGGGGAGGGACAAGCUCGUCUUUCUCAAGGACCAGUAAGGAGAUCAGCUCACUGCUGGAACAGAGUGAAGGCAGAGUGUGGAGCCACACUCAGCUUCCCAAGGUAGGGACAGAAGAGAGAGGGUUCAGAUCCUGCAGAAGGGGCUACUGGCCAGUCUUUCUCUGAUAGCCUGUCUCCCAUCUCCCCUGGCUGGGUAGGCGUCCUCUGCCUGAGUUGUCUGUCACAGCCUGGAUCGUCGUAUGUGGCGUUUGCCAUCAAGAUCUGCAGACCCCAAACUCUUCCUUCUUGCCUCCUCCAGCAAUGCCCACUCUCUCUCUUUGCAUCCUCUUCCCCUGCCCCAGCCUCUGUCCCUUCUCUGACCCAGUCCUGACCCCACUGGCUUGGCUCCAUCUCUCCCAGACUGACUGCUCCUUGAGAGUUGAGCCCAGAGUGGGUGUCCGUUUGGAAAGUCGGGAUGCUUAGGCUCCGCCCAUGGCAGGAUCCCCAAAGGCUCAGACUCCAUCACUGGCUUGGAAGCAUCUGGGGAGACCAGUAGUGAGGCUGACCCCCUAAAUCCAUGGCAGUAGGUGCAGAAAGCCAGGGCCCUUGCAUAUCAGAACCGGUCCUGACCCCAGGUAAGGGAGGGCUAAGAAGGCACAGACCUGGGGCUGGGGUGUGGGGUGUGGGGUGGGGUGGGGGCAGGUGCAGGGGCCAGGGUUGGCCCAGACUGGAUGGUGAUGGGCCAUGUGGGACCUUCCUCCUUCCUCAGGGUCCAAUCAGGCCCUGGAUGGCUUUGGAGCCUGCUGAUUCAAGGCUGACAGGACCCCCCCAGGCUAUUUUCUACAGGAAGGCUGGGAUGCAAAAGGCCCAGAGCGGGCAGGUGGGACAAACUUCGCCUUUGGGAGAGAUGGGGUGGGGGGUAUACACGAGUUCAAGCCUUGGUUCUGAGGGAUCUCGGGCAAGUGACAAAACUUCUCCCGGCUCCCAGUUUUGGAGUAUUUGCAACUUCUCCCUCAGCCUUGUGAGAAGGUAGUUCUGGUUAGCGCCUGGCAAAUUAAUUCACACUUUCACCUGGCAUAUGUUUAUUGCCUUAGUGAUGACAGAAGAAGGGGAGUCUUGCUUGUCAAGGUGUCCCCAACUGUGCUUGGCACUUUGCCGACAGGACGUUACUCAUUUAUACUCACAAGGCAGCUGGGAGGUAGAUUCAUGCUGUUAGCCCUGUUUGACACAGGAGGCAACGUGUGUGACAUGGGGGAGGCCGGGGCCCUGGGGGGGCUGCGGUGGUGACCCCCAGACCCAGGGCCUGCGUUAGGCUGGGCUGGAGGCCACUGGGCAGGACCUUCUGGCUAAUGCAGCCAAGGAAAGUGAGGCCCUGGCCGGCGGGGCCUGGUUCCCCGGCAGAAAGGCGGGCAGGCAGGAGGCAGAAUCUGGGCCCCCUCUCAGAUCUUCUCCACGUAGUUUCCUGGGAAGAGGCCCUCCUGGCCGUGCAGCCGGCCCUUCCACCAGCCUGAGGCAUCUGUGGGUGAGAAGGGGGCGUAAGGCGGUGUCCCGCCCACCUAGGAGAAAGCCUUCAUGCUGGCUCGCUGCCUGUUUUCGUCAUCGCCACUGGUGUGGCAGAAGGCAGACGUUGAAAAGAGAACGGGCAACAGAUGGGAAGGGGGGAGGGACGGACGGACAAGUGGUUUUUCUUGCUGCCGCCUCCCACUCUGUCAUGUUCUAGGCCAUUCUCUUGUUCGUCCCUCAUCUCUUUCUACAGGUGCCUGCCCUCACUCCCCAUGAUGGACCAGUGAGUGACCCCUUUGGGGCACCCCAUUUACCCACAGAGGAUGCUGCUGAGUCCCAAGCCCCUCUGGGUGGGGGGCAGCCCAGUGGACUAAGGGAAAAGGUGAAAACAACCCGAGUGUCCACCCAUGGAGGAAUGGAUGGGACAGAUGAGGUCCAUUCAUAACUGCAAGAUUUCAGCCUUCGAAAGGAAGGACGUCCUGAUACCUGCUUCAACAUGGACAAACUUUGCGGACAUUUUACUGAGUGGGGAAGUUGGAGAUCUUGCCCCCGUCCGGCUCCCCGCCACGACUGAACUGGAUCUCAAAGUACUUGCCCUGAAGCCGAGAGAGCCAGGCUCAGCACUAACACCUGACACAAAGAAGGAGCCCAAGAACAAUUUGUUGAAGAAAAGAAUGGAAGAGAGAAUAAAUUGGGAACUGAACUGUGAACAGGAACGGACGUAGCAUGGUUGCAGCCAGGAAAACAUUUAAGAAUGUUACACAGACAAGUCAAGGCUUCUACAGAUCAGCUGAUGGGGGGAAUCUUUUUCAGAAGGACCAUAAGCAGGAAGUGAGUCUCCCACAAGCAGGAAGUGAGUCUCCCACCAAGGAGCAGGAAGUUCCUAUGCUACUGGGAACACAGGUGUUUGUGUUUGUGUGUGGGGCUGCAGACUCACAA